GACGAACGCUGGCGGCGUGCCUAAUACAUGCAAGUCGAACGCACUCUCGUUUAGAUUGAAGGAGCUUGCUCCUGAUUGAUAAACAUUUGAGUGAGUGGCGGACGGGUGAGUAACACGUGGGUAACCUGCCCUAAAGUGGGGGAUAACAUUUGGAAACAGAUGCUAAUACCGCAUAAAACCUAAACACCGCAUGGUGUAGGGUUGAAAGAUGGUUUCGGCUAUCACUUUAGGAUGGACCCGCGGUGCAUUAGUUAGUUGGUGAGGUAAAGGCUCACCAAGACCGUGAUGCAUAGCCGACCUGAGAGGGUAAUCGGCCACACUGGGACUGAGACACGGCCCAGACUCCUACGGGAGGCAGCAGUAGGGAAUCUUCCACAAUGGACGAAGUCUGAUGGAGCAACGCCGCGUGAGUGAAGAAGGUUUCGGAUCGUAAAACUCUAGUUGUUGGAGAAGAAUGUAUCUGAUAGUAACUGAUCAGGUAGUGACGGUAUCC
rnacentral:rRNA from 1 species